AAUCCUGUUUGUUGAAAUGCAGGCAGGAUGACUAGUUAAGGGACUGGCCACCUUACUGGUUUUACACUUACUUGGUGAGGUGGGGAAGGAUGAGUCCUGGGUGCUCUCAGUUCUGGCUUUAAGCAUCCAAUGCAGGCUGGACCCAACCUGCUUUGGGGACAGUGUCUGGUGGGGAGUUUGGGGUGGUACAUCUGUGAAACCAUAAUGCAGGUGUCCUAAAGUUGAGCUUAGAGAGGACAGAAACCUCUCAUGAAGCAAAAAGUUAAAAGCUUGCUUUAUCUUGAUUUUCAGUUAGGGGACAUUGAUUCUGGAAUUAGCUCUCAUCAGAAACCAAGUCUAUUACUUUCAAAGCAAGGUCUGUUGGCUUUUUUAGAUAACAAGAAAGGUGU
rnacentral:ncRNA from 1 species